rnacentral:rRNA from 1 species
GACGAACGCUGGCGGCGUGCCUAACACAUGCAAGUGGAGCGACGAACCAGGCUUCGGCCUGGGGCAAAGCCGCGAACGGGUGAGUAACACGUGGGUAACCUGCCCUGAUGAUUGGGACAACCCGAGGAAACUCGGGCUAAUACCGAAUGUGCCCUCCGGCCUCAAGGCCGCUGGGGAAAGGAAGCUUCGGCCUCCGCAUCGGGAUGGGCCCGCGGCCCAUUAGCUUGUUGGUGAGGUAACGGCNCACCAAGGCGACGAUGGGUAGCUGGUCUGAGAGGACGAUCAGCCACACUGGGACUGAGACACGGCCCAGACUCCUACGGGAGGCAGCAGUGGGGAAUCUUGCGCAAUGCGCGAAAGCGUGACGCAGCAACGCCGCGUGGGGAAGAAGGCC